rnacentral:rRNA from 1 species
GCAUGGUCUUAGCUUGCUAAGACUGAUGGCGACCGGCGCACGGGUGAGUAACACGUAUCCAACCUGCCGUCUACUCUUGGACAGCCUUCUGAAAGGAAGAUUAAUACAAGAUGGCAUCAUGAGUCCGCAUGUUCACAUGAUUAAAGGUAUUCCGGUAGACGAUGGGGAUGCGUUCCAUUAGAUAGUAGGCGGGGUAACGGCCCACCUAGUCUUCGAUGGAUAGGGGUUCUGAGAGGAAGGUCCCCCACAUUGGAACUGAGACACGGUCCAAACUCCUACGGGAGGCAGCAGUGAGGAAUAUUGGUCAAUGGGCGAGAGCCUGAACCAGCCAAGUAGCGUGAAGGAUGACUGCCCUAUGGGUUGUAAACUUCUUUUAUAAAGGAAUAAAGUCGGGUAUGGAUACCCGUUUGCAUGUACUUUAUGAAUAAGGAUCGGCUAACUCCGUGCCAGCAGCCGCGGUAAUACGGAGGAUCCGAGCGUUAUCCGGAUUUAUUGGGUUUAAAGGGAGCGUAGAUGGAUGUUUAAGUCAGUUGUGAAAGUUUGCGGCUCAACCGUAAAAUUGCAGUUGAUACUGGAUAUCUUGAGUGCAGUUGAGGCAGGCGGAAUUCGUGGUGUAGCGGUGAAAUGCUUAGAUAUCACGAAGAACUCCGAUUGCGAAGGCAGCCUGCUAAGCUGCAACUGACAUUGAGGCUCGAAAGUGUGGGUAUCAAA